rnacentral:misc_RNA from 1 species
UACACACGCAUACAUUGACGCGCGCCAUAGCGACAUAGCAGCGUCAGCGGUCAGCGAGGCAGUGUAGCAACAGUAUGACAAUUGCGUGGUGUAGCCUUCGUUUGCUGCGACGUGCGACCGUAUCGAUUCGCUGACCAGACGAAGCCCGCUGAUCGUAGAGCAAUUUGGAUUAGAUUAUUCAGCCGCCUCUCGCGAUGGGAGUGAUAUUUCUCGAACACAUCGGCGGCGCUCGGCUGUUCUCCUGCGCCUCCUGUGACACCAACCUCACUAACAGGUCACAGCUCGUGAGCACACGCUUCACGGGUGCCACGGGACGUGCUUUUCUCUUCAACAAAGUCGUCAAUCUGAAUUAUAGCGAGGUACAGGAUAGAGUGAUGCUGACGGGUCGUCACAUGGUCCGAGACGUCAGCUGCAAAAACUGUGAUGCUAAGCUCGGCUGGGUGUACGAAUUUGCAACAGACGAGCAGCAACGAUACAAGGAAGGUCGUGUUAUCCUGGAGCGAGCUCUUGUCACAGAGAGCGGUGGAUUGAGCGAGAAUAUUUAAUAUUUAAUACCGAGCAGCGUUUAAUGGAACAUUAAUAAACUGACUUCAAUGGCAAAAAUAUGUUUGUCAAGAAAAUUAGGAAAACGUGGGACAAGACGUGUAUCGUGUAACUUUAUUUGUACCUCCAAUAUCUCCAAUAAAUUUCCUAGAAGAAGGAACAAUAAUGUAUCAGAUACUCCAAGACAUGUGUCGCAACAAUGUUGACUGCAGAAUAUAUAUAUAAAUAAAGUGCAAAACAUUCCUUCUUUGAUACAAA